rnacentral:rRNA from 1 species
UCGGGAAUUUUGGGCAAUGGGCGAAAGCCUGACCCAGCAACGCCGCGUGAGGGAUGAAGGCCUUCGGGUCGUAAACCUCUGUCAGAAGGGAAGAAAGGUCUCUGGGCGAAUAGGCCAGGGGCUUGACGGUACCUUCAAAGGAAGCACCGGCUAACUCCGUGCCAGCAGCCGCGGUAAUACGGAGGGUGCGAGCGUUGUUCGGAAUCACUGGGCGUAAAGCGCGUGUAGGCGGCCGUGUUAGUCGGGUGUGAAAUCCCGGGGCUCAACCCCGGAACUGCACCCGAAACUGCAUGGCUCGAGUCCCGGAGGGGGUGGCGGAAUUUCCGGUGUAGAGGUGAAAUUCGUAGAUAUCGGAAGGAACACCAGUGGCGAAGGCGGCCACCUGGACGGUGACUGACGCUGAGACGCGAAAGCGUGGGGAGCAAACAGGAUUAGAUACCCCCGUAGUCC